GCCAACGUCCAUACCACGUUGAAUACACCGGUUCUCGUCCGAUCACCGAAGUUAAUCAACGUCGGGCGCGGUCAGUACUUGGAUGGGUGACCGCCUGGGAACACCGCGUGAUGUUGGUUUUU
rnacentral:rRNA from 1 species